CUGGAAUAACAUGGCCCAGAAGAAGAAAUACCCAAAUGUUUGUUCCCAUUUAUUCUUCCUCUGCAGGCAAAUGUAUUAAUAAGGCAGAAAUGAACACAGUGACUGAACCUACAGAUGGUCUGACUUGA
rnacentral:lncRNA from 1 species